rnacentral:rRNA from 1 species
CAGUCGCCGCGGGAACACGAAGGGUGCAAGCGUUAAUCGGAAUUACUGGGCGUAAAGCGCGCGUAGGUGGUUCAUUAAGUUGGAUGUGAAAGCCCUGGGCUCAACCUGGGAACUGCAUCCAAAACUGGUGAGCUAGAGUACGGUAGAGGGUAGUGGAAUUUCCUGUGUAGCGGUGAAAUGCGUAGAUAUAGGAAGGAACACCAGUGGCGAAGGCGACUACCUGGACUGAUACUGACACUGAGGUGCGAAAGCGUGGGGAGCAAACAGGAUUAGAUACCCCCGUAGUCCCUGUCUCUUAUAC